AAAAGUUGUUUGUAAAUAAAAGAUUUUUUGAAAUAUAAUAAAAUUGUUAAAAUUCUUCGAACACUCUUCGGUCUAGACAAGAAAAUGCUAAAAUAACGUUUGUCGGCUGAUCAGUGGAAGGCUUGUUUGCAGCAGAAGGACACAAAGGCUCAACAAUUAUUUAUGGAUAUAAUUAUUUUAAAUAAUUGCCUUUUCAAGUUUUUAGUGAAAUCUUAAACUACAUAGAACUAAAACAGAAUGGAAUAUAUAUCGUCAGUAUAUUA